UUACCUUCGGGUAAUGAGGAUGGCGGACGGGUGAGUAACGCGUAAGGAACUUGCCUCUUGGUCUGGGACAACUGUUGGAAACGACAGCUAAUACCGGAUAUUAUGAGAUUCUCGCAUGGGAAACUUAUGAAAGCUAUAUGCGCCAAGAGAGAGCCUUGCGUUCCAUUAGCUAGUUGGUGGGGUAACGGCCCACCAAGGCGACGAUGGAUAGCCGGCCUGAGAGGGUGAACGGCCACAAGGGGACUGAGACACGGCCCUUACUCCUACGGGAGGCAGCAGUGGGGAAUAUUGGACAAUGGGCCACAAGCCUGAUCCAGCAAUUCUGUGUGCACGAUGAAGGUCUUCGGAUUGUAAAGUGCUUUCAGUUGGGAAGAAGAAAGUGACGGUACCAACAGAAGAAGCGACGGCUAAAUACGUGCCAGCAGCCGCGGUAAUACGUAUGUCGCAAGCGUUAUCCGGAUUUAUUGGGCGUAAAGCGCGUCUAGGCGGAAAAAUAAGUCUGAUGUUAAAAUGCGGGGCUCAACUCCGUAUUGCGUUGGAAACUGUUUUUCUAGAGUACUGGAGAGGUGGGCGGAACUACAAGUGUAGAGGUGAAAUUCGUAGAUAUUUGUAGGAAUGCCGAUGGAGAAGUCAGCUCACUGGACAGAUACUGACGCUAAAGCGCGAAAGCGUGGGGAGCAAACAGG
rnacentral:rRNA from 1 species